rnacentral:rRNA from 1 species
UACGGGGGGGGCAAGCGUUGUUCGGAAUUACUGGGCGUAAAGGGUUCGUAGGUGGCUUGCUCAGUCAGACGUGAAAUCCCUCAGCUUAACUGGGGAACUGCGUCUGAUACUGGCGAGCUUGAGUGCAGGAGAGGAACGCGGAAUUCCAGGUGUAGCGGUGAAAUGCGUAGAUAUCAGGAGGAACACCGGUGGCGAAGGCGGCUACCUGGACAGAAACUGACGCUGAGGCACGAAAGCUAGGGGAGCAAACAGG